rnacentral:misc_RNA from 1 species
AAACAUAGCUGGUCUGCCUUACCUCGCCGCUUAACACACAGCAUAUGUUACGAUAUUGAAAUGUGCUGUUGGAUUUCCUGCGUGAUAAAUUUUUUCUACCGUAAAAUUAGGGAUUGUUUGGAAUGGCUGUUUUGUUGCAAGGGCUGUCGGAGAAAAGAUAUAGAGAAAGAAAAAAAGCAUCCGCCGGAAAGUCCCAAAGGAGAAAGAGAAAUGCACGGCCAGAGCAGUAUUCGAACCCGGGACCAUCCGAACCCUAUAGAGACGCUCUACUAACUGAACUACAUGGACGCGGACGAUCGACCUAGUCCCAUGGCAAUACUGGACUAUCGAACAAAGAAGGAAAGACAGAAGGAACACCUAAGAUUAAAGUUUAUCUAGAUUUCCUUUAUGAAGUGAAAGAUGUGAUUGAUAGCCUCCACAAACCACUGGAAAUUCUUUUAAGUAACAUAACCGGAAAAAGUGUGGAGAUCGUAAGAGGUGGUCCUGAUGAAUGUCAACUAAAAUUGACUGGAUUAUUCGCUCCAGAAAGGCCAGCAGACUAUACUGAAGAUGUUAAAAAAAAAGCCGCAGGACGUACCAUAUUGAUACUGUGUAAAGAAGACUUCGAUUGGAAACUAGACAAUGCUCUCUUCAUCCGUUAUACAAAAAACUAUAGCAAAUGUGAGCUCAUGUCUACAAAGACAGUAGAAAACAAAGAAGCCUUACAGGCUUUGAUGAAAAUAUAAAAACAUUGUGUGCUUGACAGUGGUUUAAAUUUCCGAUUUACACACUAUCUGUCACUCUGUCAAUCGUUGCUGGCAUUUGACUUUAAUAAACAGACUUUAAUAAUCA